rnacentral:rRNA from 1 species
AGAACUUUCAACAACGGAUCUCUUGGUUCUGGCAUCGAUGAAGAACGCAGCGAAAUGCGAUAAGUAAUGUGAAUUGCAGAAUUCAGUGAAUCAUCGAAUCUUUGAACGCACAUUGCGCCCCUUGGUAUUCCGAGGGGCAUGCCUGUUCGAGCGUCAUUUC